AUCUGGUGGCUUUCUUUUGAAGUUUCAAAAUUCUCUGAAUGUAUACGUCUGCUGCUCCUCACAAUGUUGGUAUACAGUAUAGGAUGAAUGGGAAGUGCUAAAAAUGGCAAGAAAACAUGUACACAGAGAUGAUGCAUACCGAUAUGAGAAUCAUUCUUCAGAAAACUUCGAAGAAACUAUGAAGACAGCCAGGAAAUGAAGAAUGAUACUGUGAAAGGCCAGAAAACAUUUUAAUAUUCCACUAAGAGAUCUCAGCCACACAGCAAGAAAUAAAUUUUCUCACUCUACUGGACAGCUGUAGAAAUGGAGACCUCCAGCCAGAGGACAUUCCACACCUUUGGAGUGUCUCAUAGACUGCAGAAGAAGAAAUGUGGUGCCAGAAGACAUGACAAACAAAGAAAACUUUGGCUUCAGCAAGAUAGAGAAGCUCAGCAUAACUGCAGACAAAACCAAUUAAAUGUUCAAUCCCCACAGUUAGUGCAACUUUGUGACCAACAUACCUACUUCGUCGCCACCAAACAUUAGUGCAAGACAAAAGCUACAUAAAAUUCCAAAAACAUAUUGUUCUGCCUGUCCUUUUGCUAAAGACAAUGAAGUCAAACACACGGUGUUGAUGAUAUGGACCAAAUCAGUGUACAUUGGUCUGAAAGGUUCUUUGCAAGGGAGUUCAGUGGCAAUUCAGCUACCGUUGGCACAAGGGAAAGGUUAACUUAGAGUCCAUUAAUGUUUGUGAAGAGCUUAAAAACCUCAUAGAGAUGAAUAAUGACUAUUCUAAGAACCAUCCAGAAAUAUUAGACAAUUUACCAGUGAUCUGCAUUUGCUUCACUUCUGUUUAGUUUCAUUUAUAUUCCUGGCAGAGACCUAUAUUGUAUUAAAAUACAUGGACAAGUCUAUCAUAUGGAAGGAAGUUUGCAGCCUUAUGUAGGAGUUGCUCAACUUACACCAGUCUCUUCAUUACAGAUUUUAAUAUUCCAU